UAGAAUUCCAGGAGUAGCGGUGAAAUGCGUAGAUAUCUGGAGGAAUACCAAAGGCGAAGGCAGUCCCCUGGUCCGAUACUGACACUGAGGUACGAAAGCGUGGGGAGCAAACAGGAUUAGAUACCCUGGUAGUCCACGCCCUAAACGAUGUCGAUUAGCCAUUGGAAGGACCCCUUUUCCUUUCAGUGACGUAGCUAACGCGUUAAAUCGACCGCCUGGGAAGUACGACCGCAAGGUUAAAACUCAAAGGAAUUGACGGGGACCUGAACAAGCGGUGAAUGAUGUGGAUUAAUUCGAUGCUACGCGAAGAACCUUACCUACCCUUGACAUGGCCAAAGUUCUACCGAGAGGCGGAAGUACUCGUAAGAGGAUUGGCGCACAGGUGCUGCAUGGUUGUCGUCAGUUCGUGUCGUGAGAUGUUGGGUUCAGUCCCGCAACGAACGCAACCCUUAUCUUUAAUUGCUCCUAUUUUAACAGGCACUUUAAAGAAACUGCCAAUGAUAAGUUGGAGGAAGGUGGGGAUCACGUCAAGUCCGCAUGGCCUUUAUAGGUAGGGCUUCACACGUCAUACAAUGGUUAGAACAAAGAGCUGCAAAUUCGUAAGAAGGAGCCAAUCUCACAAACCUAACCUCAGUUCGAAUUGCGGUCUGCAACUCGAGCGCAUGAAGCCGGAAUCGCUAGUAAUCGUGGAUCAGAAUGC
rnacentral:rRNA from 1 species